UUUUCCCACUGUACAGCAAGGGGGUCAGGUUAUCCUUACAUGUAUACAUUACACUUACAUUUUUUCCCCCACCCUUUGUUCUGUUGCAACAUGUGUAUCUAGAGAAAGUUCUCAAUGCUACUCAGCAGGAUCUCCUUGUAAAUCUAUUCUAAGUUGUAUCUGAUAAGCCCAAGCUCCCGAUCCCUCCCUCUCCCUCCCCCUCCCAUCAGGCAGCCACAAGUCCAUGAUUUUCUUUUCUGAGGAGAUGUUCAUUUGUGCUGGAUAUUAGAUUCCAGUUAUAAGUGAUAUCAUAUGGUAUUUGCCUUUGUCUUUCUGGCUCAUUUCACUCAGUAUGAGAUUCUCUAGUUCCAUCCAUGUUGCUGCAAAUGGCAUUAUGUCAUUCUUUUUUAUGGCUGAGUAGUAUUCCAUUGUGUAUAAUAUAUACCACAUCUUCCAAAUCCAAUCAUCUGUCGAUGGACAUUUGGAUUGUUUCCAUGUCCUGGCUAUUGUGAAUAGUGCUGCAAUGAACAUGCGGGUGUAUGUGUCUCUUUUAAGUAGAGUUUUGUCCGGAUAGAUGCCCAAGAGUGGGAUUGCGGGGUCAUAUGGAAGUUCUAUGUAUAGAUUUCUAAGGUAUCUCCAAACUGUUCUCCAUAGUGGCUGUACCAGUUUCCAUUCCCACCAACAGUGCAGGAGGGUUCCCUUUUCUCCACAGCCCCUCCAGCACUUGUUAUUUGUGGAUUUGUUAAUGAUGGCCAUUCUGACUGGUGUGAGGUGGUAUCUCAUGGUAGUUUUGAUUUGCAUUUCUUUUACAGUGUUGAGCAUUUUUUCAUGUGUUUGUUGGCCAUCUGUAUAUCUUCUUUGGAGAAAUGUCUAUUGAGGUCUUUUGCCCAUUUUUCCAUUGAUUGAUUGGCUUUUUUGCUGUUGGGUUGUAUAAGUUGUUUAUAUAUUCUAGAGAUUAAGCCCUUGUCGGUUGCGUCAUUUGAAACUAUUUUCUCCCAUUCUGUAAGUUGUCUUUUUGUUUUCUUUUGGUUUUCUUUUGCUGUGCAAAAGCUUUUCAGUUUGAUGAGGUCCCAUGGGUUUAUUUUUGCUCUAAUUUCUAUUGCUUUGGGAGACUGACCUGAGAAAAUAUUCAUGAUGUUGAUGUCAGAGAGUGUUUUGCCUCUGUUUUCUUCUAGGAGUUUGAUGGUGUCCUGUCGUAUAUUUAAGUCUUUCAGCCAUUUUGAGUUUAUUUUUGUGCAUGGUAAGCUCAGCUUUUUUAGGUUCCAUAUACAAGUAAGGUAUGUAGUAUUUGUCUUUAACUUAUUUCACUUAGGAUCACGCCCUCAGGGUCCAUCCAUGUUGUCACAAAUGUCGCAAAAAUCCUGCUUUUUAUGGCUGAAUAAUAUUCCACUGUGUUGAUACAUGCCUCAUGUCUUCUUUAUCCAUUCACCUCUUGCUGAACACAGGUUAUUUCCCUGUCUUGGCUAUUGCGAAUAAUGCUGCUGUGACCAUGAGAGUGCCGCUAGCUCUUUGAGAACCUGUCUUCACUUCCUUUGAAUGUAUGCUCAUGAGUGGAAUUAUUGAACAUGUGAUAGUUCUACUUUUGGUUUUGUGAGGAACCUCCACAUUAUUUUCCAUAGUGGUCGCACCCGUUUUCAUACCCACCGACAGUGUACAAGGGUUCCCUUUGCCGGACAUCCUUAUGGGGAAAGAAAAAAUAAGACACUUAUCUCUUGUCUUUUUGAUAAUAGCCAUCCUAAAACUGUGAGGUUAUACCUGAUUGUGGUUUUGAUUUACACUUGCAUGAUGAUUAGUGAUAUUUUUUAUUUAUGUAUUUAUUUAUUUUUGUCUUUUGAGGGCUGUACCUGUGGCAUAUGGAAGUUCCCAGGUUAGGGCUCAAAUUGGAGUUGUAGCUGCCAGCUUACGCCUCAGCCACAGUGAUGCUGGAUCCUUAACCCACUGAGCGAGGCCAGGGAUCAAACCCAUGUCCUCAUGGAUCCCAGUCAGGUUCACUACUGCUGAGCCACUGUGGGAACUCCCGUUAGUGAUAUUUAGCACCUUUUCAUGUGCUGGUUGGCCAUUUGGAUAUUAUCUUUGGAAAAAUAUCUAUUCAGAUCCUUUGCCCAUUCUUUAAUCAGGUUUUUGUUUUUACUGUUGGAUUCUAAGAGUUUCUUAUAUAUUUUGGAUAUUAAUCCCUUAUCAGAUAUAUGAUUUCCAAAUAUUUUUCUCCCGUUAAGUAGAUUUUUCCUUGAUGGUUUUCUUUGCUGUGAAAAGGUCUUUUAGUUUGAUAUGGUCUCAUUAGUUUAUUUUUGCUUUUGUUAUCUUUGCUUUUGUUGUCCAUUCAAAAAAGUCAUUGUAAGACUGAUGUUAAGCUGCUCUUUCCCUAUGUUUUCGUCACAGAGUUUUAUACUUUCAGGUCUUAUGUUCAAGUCUUUAGUCCAUUUUGAGUUGAUUUUCAUUCAUGGUGUAAGACAGAAGCCCAGGUUCAUUCUUUUACAUGUAGCUGCCCAGUUUUUCCAGCACAAAUUAUUGAAGAGACUAUCCUUUACCCAUUGUAUAUUCUUGGCUCUUUUGUUGUAAAUAAAAUGACCGUAAAUAUGUGGGUUUAUGUCUGGGCACUUUCUUCUGUUCCAUUUACCUAUGUGUGUGUUUAUGGCAAUACUAUUCUGUUUGCAUCACUAGAGCUUUGUAAUACAGUUUGAAACUAGAAAGUAUGAUCCUUUCAGCCUUGUCUGUCUUAAGAUUACUUCUGCUUUCUAGGGGUCUUUUAAGUUUCCAUACAAAUUUUAGAAUUCUUUGUUCUAUUUCUGUGAAAAAUGCUAUUGGAAUUUUAAUAGGGAUUGCUUUGAAUCUGUAGGUUGGACAUUUUAACACUAUUCUUCCAAUCUGCAAUCAUGGAAUAUCUUUUUAUUUAUUUGUGUCUAAUGUUUCUUUCAUCUAUAUCUCAUAGUUUUUAUUUUAUUUUAUUUUAGUCUUUUUGCCAUUUCUUGGGCAGUUCCCAUGGCAUAUGGAGGUUCCCAGGCUAGGGGUUGAACUGGAGCUGUAGCUACCGGCCCUCGCCAGAGCCACAGCAACGCAGGAUCCAAGCCGCUUCUGAGACCUACACCACAGCUCACGGCAACGCUGGAUCCUUAACCCACUGAGCAAGGCCAGGGAUCGAAUCCCAACCUCAUGGUUCCUAGUCGGAUUUGUUAGCCACUGAGCCACGUUGGGAACUCUGGUGUCUCAUAGCUUUUAGUAUAUAGAUCUUUCACUGCCUUGGUUAAGUUCUUGAGUAUUUUAUUGUUUUUGAUGCUAUGUUAAAUGGGGUUGUUUUCUUAAUUUCUCUUUCUGCAGAUCAUUGUUAGUGUAUAGAAAUGUAACUGAUUAUUUUGUAUUGAUUUUUGUAUGCUAAGCAUCCUGAAUUUAUGAUUUCUAAGUUUUUUGUUGAAGUUCAUAGGGUUUUCUAUAUAUAAUAUGUUACCUUCAUAUAGAGACAGUUUUACUCCUUCGUUUCCAAUUUAGAUGCCUUUUAAUUCUUUUUCUUGCCUAAUUUCUCUGUCUAGGACUUCCAGUACUAUGUUGAGUAAAAGGGGCAAGAGUGGGCAUCCUUGUCUUUGUCCUGACCUUAGGGGAAAUGCUUUCAACUUUUUACCAUUGAGUAUGAUGUUAGUUAGCUAUAGCCUUUUCAUAUAUGGCAUCAAGUUGAGGUAUCUUCCUGCUACUCAAGUUUUUUUGAGAGAUUUUGUUUUUGUUUUAUGUUUUUGGGCUUUGUUUUGUUUUUGUGUUUUUACCAUGAGAAGAUGUGGAAUUUGGUCAUUUGCUUCUUCUGUAUCUAUGAAUAUGAUAUGAUUUUUAUCCUUCAUUUUGCUAAUGUUGUAUAUCAUAUUGACUGAUAUUGUGGAUGGCUGAACCAUUUUUGCAUCCCUGGAAUAAAUUCCACUUAAUUUGGUGUAACAUUCUUUUAAUGUACAGCUGACCCUUGAACAACAUGGGGUGUUUAAUCCACAUAUAACUUAUAGUUAUCCCUCUAUAUCUGUAGUUCCUCCAUAUCCGUGGAUUCAGGCAGCCAUGGAUUGGAUAGUAUUGUAAUACUCCUUUUUUUUUUUUGGUCUUUUUUGCCAUUUCUUGGGCCGCUCCUGCGGCAUAUGGAAGUUCCCAGGCUAAGGGUCUAAUCGGAGCUGUAGCUGCCAGCCUACACCAGAGCCACAGCAACACAGGAUCCGAGCCACGUCUGCGACCUACACCACAGCUCAUGGCAAGGCCGGACCCUUAACCCACUGAGUGAGGCCAGGGAUUGAACUUGCAACCUCAUGGUUCCUAGUUGGAUUUGUUAACCACUGAGCCAUGACAGGAACUCCACUACUGUAAUACUCAUGAAAAACAUUCCCAUUUCAGUGGACACAUGUGGUCCAAACUUGUGUUGUUCAAGGGUCAACUGUAAUAUUGAACGUGGCUUGCUCAUAUUUUGUUGAGGAUUUUUGCAAUGUUUAUAAGGUAUAUUGGCCUGUGAUUUUAUUUUCUCGUAGUGUCUCUGUCUGAUUUUGGUAUCGGGGUAAUGCUGACCUUAUGAGAUUGAAAGCAUUCCCGCCUCUUCUGUUUUUGGAAGGAGUUUGAGAAGGAUCGCUAUUCGUAUCUUCUUUGAUAGAAUUCACCAGUGAAACCAUCUGAUCCUGGACUUUUCUUUCUUGAGAGGUUUUUGAUUACUGAUUCAAUCAUCUUACUAGUAAUUGGUCUGUUCAGAUUUUCUACUUAUGAGUCAGUGUUGGUAGCUCUGUUUCUAGGAACUUUUGCAUAUUUCUAAGUUGUCCAAUAUUUUGGUAGUGGCUUAUAUAAUCCCUUGUAUUUUUGUAACAUCAGUUGUGUUGAUUUACAAUUGUAUUUUUUUUCUCUUUAAUUUAUAAUUUUAUUUGAAUCUUCUAUUUUUCUUGGUUACUCGAGCUGAAAGUUUUGUCUACUUUUUUAUAUUUUUAAAAACUCAGCUUUUAAUUUAAUUCAUCUUUUCUAUUAACUUUAGUCUCUAUUUCAUUUAUUUCUACUAUUUCUUUUCUUCUACUAACUGGGCUUAGUUUACUCCUUCUAGUUCUUUGAGGUGUAAAGUUGGGUUGUUUAUUUGAAAUAUUUCUCAUUCCUUAACAUAGAUAUUAUUACUUUUAAUUUUCCUCUUAGUACUGCUUUUGCUGUGACACAAAAGUUUUGGUAUUUUUUUUUUCAUUUGUCUCAAAAUAUUUUUUUUGAUUUAUCUCUUGAUUUCUUCUUUGAUCUAUUGACUGUUCAGGAACAUGUUUAAUCUCCAUAUAUUUGUGGACUUUCCAGUUUUCUUCUUUUGAGUUCUAGUUUCAUAUCUUUGCAGUCAGAAAAGGCACUUGAUACAAUUUCAACAUUUUAUAUUUAUUAGGACUUCUUUGUGGUCUAACAUAUUAUCUAUUCUGGAGAAUGUUCCAUAUGCCCUUGAAAAGCAUAUGUAUUCUGCUGCUGUUGGAUGGAAUUUUCUAUAAAUGUCGGUCAAGCACAUCCGGUUUAAUGUGUUAAGUCCAGUAUUUCCUUAUUGAUUUUCUGUCUGGAUAAUCCAUUGUUGAAAGUGGCAUAUUGACGUCCCAUACUAUUGGUGUUGCUGUCUAUUUCUCCCUUUGGAUAUGUUAAAUAUGUUGUGUGCUUUUAUAUUGGGUGCAUAAAUAUUUACAAAUGUUACAUCCCCUUGAUGAACUGAUCCCUUUUGUCAUUAUAUCAUAUCCUUCUUUGUCUCUUGCUAAGUUUUUGGUUUAUUUUUACUUUUUUGUGGGGGAGGGUUGAAGUCUAUUUUGUCUGAUGCAAGUAUUGCUAUACUAGGUUUAUUUUGGUUCCAUAUGCAGGGCAUAUCUUUUUUCAUCCUUUCAUUCUUUGUGUAUGUGUGUUCUUAAAGGUGAAGUGAGUCUUUUCUAGGAAGCAUAUAAUUGAAUUUUUUUGUUUGUUUUUUUAUCCAUUCAGCUAUUAUUUGUCUUUUGAUUAGAGAAUUUAGUUUGUUUACAUUUAAAAUAAUUAUUGAUAUUUGUGGACUUACUAUUGCCAUUUUGUUAACUGAGUUCUUGUUGCUUUGCAGUUCCUUUGUUUGCUCUGUUGUGAUUUGAUGAUUUUCUUUCUUUCUUUUUUGCUUUUUAGGGCCACACCUAUGGCAUAUGGAGAUUCCCAGGCUAGGGAUCGAAGCAGAGCUACAGCUGCCGGCAUAUGCCACAGCCACAGCAACAUGGGAUCUUAGUUGUGUCUGCAACCUACACCACAGCUCAUGGCAAUGCUGGAUCCUUAACUCACUGAUCGAGGCCAGGGAUGGAACUUGAAACCUCAUGGUUCCUAGUCAGAUUCAUUUCCACUGUGCCAUGAUGGGAACUCCCUGUGAUCUGAUGAUUUUCUGUAGUGGUAUGUUUGGAUUCUUUUCUCUUGAUCUCUUAGAUGUCUACUGUAAGAUUUUGUUUUGUAGUUACCAUGAUGUUUACUUAAACUUGUCUUAAUCUAAUAACACCUUAAUUUUGAGGACAUACAUUUUCACUCUCCAUGUCACUGUUUAUAUCAUUUUACUUUUUACAUUCAUUAACAAAUUAUCGUAAUUGUGAUUUUUAAUCCUUUUGCCUUCAUACUAGAGUUAGAAGUGAUUCAUCACCAUUACACUAGAAUAUUCUGGAUUUAACUGUAAAUUUACCUUUACCUGUGAUUUUUAUACCUUCAUAUGUUUUCCCAUUGCUAAAUAGCAUCCUUUGGUUUCAGUUUGAAAUAUUCUUUUUAACUUUUUUUUUUUUUUUUUUUUGGUAGGGAUAAUCUAGCGGUAAUGAACUCCUUCAGCUUUUGCUUAUCUAUGAAACUCUUUGUCUUUUCUUCAAUUCUGAUGGCCAAGUUUGCUGGGCAGAAUAUUCCUGGUUGACAAUUUCUUUCCUUCAGCACUUUGAAUGUAUAUCCCAUUCCUCCUGGUCUGCAAAGUUUGUGAUGGAAAGUCUGCUGAUAGUUUUAUGGUUAUUUCCUUGUAUGUUGCAGUUUGUUUUUCUCUUGUUCCUUUUAAGAUUCUUUCCUUUAGAAUGGGUGUGUGUAUAUGUAUGAUUGGGUCACUUUGUUGUACGGCAGAAAUUAUCACAGCCUUGUAAGUUAACUAUACUUCAAUAAAACUUAAAAUUCUCUCCUUUAACUUUUCUUUUUUAUUUUUCUUUUACGGCCACACAUGUGGCACAUAGAAGUUUCCAGGCUAGGGGUUGAAUCAGAGCUGUAGCUGCUGGCCUAUGCCACAGCCACAGCCAUGCCAGAUCUGAGCCUCAUGUGUGGCCUACACCACAGCUCACAGCAACACCAAAUCCUUAACCCACUGAGUGAGGCUAGGGAUUGAACCCACAUCCUCAUGGAUAUUAGGUUUGUUACCCCUGAGCCACAAAGGGAACUCCCUCUCCUUUAUCUUUUGACAAUUUAAUUAUAAUGUAUCUCAGGAUGGGUCUCUUUAGAUUAAUCUUAUUGGUACUCUUUGGACUUUGUAAAUCUGAUUCUUUGCUUAGGUAAGGAUAAAGUUUCAGCCAUUAUUUCUUUGAAUAAUAUUUCUGCCCGUCUUUCUUUCAUUUCUCCUUCUGGGACCUCUGCAAUACAUACAUUUGUCCUUUUAACAGUGUCCUCUAAGUCCCUUAAGCUGUCUUUACUCUUUUUCAUAAUUUAUUUUCCUUUUUCUUCUCUUUGGAUGAAUUCUACUGCCUGGUCUUUGAGUUUACUGAUCCUUCUUUCUGUUUUGUCUGUUGUGGAACCCCUCUGUGGAAACUUUCAGUUCAGUUAUUUUAUUCUUCAGCUCUGUGAUUCCUGUUUGGUCCUUUAAAAAUAUUUUAUCUGGGAGUUCCCGUUGUGGCGCAGUGGUUAACGAAUCCGACUAGGAACCAUGAGGUUGCGGGUUUGAUCCCUGCCCUUGCUCAGUGGGUUAAGGAUCCAGUGUUGCCGUGAGCUGUGGUGUAGGUUGCAGACGUAGCUUGGACCCCUGCGUUGUUGUGGCUGUGACGUAGGCCGGCAGCUACAGCUCCGAUUUGACCCCUAGCCUGGGAACUUCCAUAUGCCGUGGGAGCGGCCCAAGAAAUAGCAAAAAGACCAAAAAAAAAAAAAAAA
rnacentral:lncRNA from 1 species